CAGCCGCCGCGGGAAUACAGAGGGUGCGAGCGUUAAUCGGAUUUACUGGGCGUAAAGCGUGCGUAGGCGGCUAAUUGAGUCGGAUGUGAAAUCCCCGAGCUUAACUUGGGAAUUGCAUUCGAUACUGGUUAGCUAGAGUGUGGGAGAGGAUGGUAGAAUUCCAGGUGUAGCGGUGAAAUGCGUAGAGAUCUGGAGGAAUACCGAUGGCGAAGGCAGCCAUCUGGCCUAAAACUGACGCUGAGGUACGAAAGCAUGGGGAGCAAACAGGAUUAGAUACCCGAGUAGUCCCUGUCUCUUAUAC
rnacentral:rRNA from 1 species